UUGAUCAGAGAAAUGAUACGGUGAAUUAAAUGGGAUAGGAUGAUCUCCGUCGACGACAGAGUAAACACUUGCCAUUGAUGCAUUCGAAAUGAGUGUUGCAAGAAAAGGACAAUAAACGAGACGCAUUAAGGAUAAUAAUUGCAUGCCAACUUCCAAUUGCUAACUCCUUCAGACUGCCAACGCGUCUCGUUUAUCGUUAAAUCAUCGUUGAAUGGCUGUGUCAGUUUUGUGAGGUGACAACGCCGUGGAUCAUAACAGAUCGUGGCCGGUCGAUGCGAUCCCCCCACCUCUGCUGUGGCGCUGCUGUAAAUUCGACUAGGGAUAUUUUGCGCGAACCUAAAUCAGAUAGCGUCGUGUUUACGUAUUUCACUUAUGACCACGGUCGGUGUACAGGAAACAGUUUGGAAACGCAAAAUUACGGUGGGCAUAUUCCGCAAGGUACAACGAGACUGUAUUUCGGCGUAUCGAUUUCUAUUCUCAAUUUCGGUAGCUCUGUAGAAUUUUCGAAAUGCUUCGCACGGAUGAAAGUUUAUCGUAUAACCAGAAAAUUUUUUCACCAUGCUUUCAUUCUAUUUUUCUAUUUCUAUGUCAUUUUAUUUUAGGAAAAUGUGCACAAGCCUCGGUGAACAUUUUUUCUUCUCGCUAUCCGUGAAAAUAGUUUUUCCAGGAAACUAUUCGAAACUCGGGAUAGCGUGCACUAUACUACGCCAGUUUUUGUCUCACAAUCGGAAAGGACAGUCGGCACAUUCAAUGAAACGAAAUGUUAACAUCGGCGGAAGUCUUGGGACUUCAUUUGGGAUACUUGGAAUUUUAUUGGUCGACGUUGAUCGGUGCGAUUCGUUUGCGACUAAUUAACGGCUGAUCGUAUUCCGUAGGGUGAAUAUCGUUAUCGAAAUGUCGGCCCGCUACCUUCGCUAGUUUAGGACACUAGAGAUUAUCGAAAAAUCAUAAUUAUGUCUACUCGCUCUCAGACAAAAUUCGGUAAAUUUCGAACUCUAUAACUAUCGUAUAGCUGUGACGCGUACCGAAUCGAGUAUUGUAAUUAAAAUACUAGAAUGCCAAUUGAAAGCGAGUGCAAUCAAUAGUUUGAUGUGUGUGCACUCGAAUGAUUGGUUCCGAUUAGUAAAUAUAUAUACGUAUAUAAAGUAAACAUACGUAUAGGUAUAUAUUAUGUGUAUGCAUAUGUACCGGCGAGUUUACAUGCAAUCAAAAUUGCGUAUUUACUCCAUUAUCAUAGACGUAUAUUUCGACACCGACGUUUCGCAUUUGCGUAAAUAUUUCAUGGGAAAAUUUCACUGCGACCCAACCAGGAAUCUCUAACUUUGUGAUUUUCUUUCUUUGAAAAUUUGUUUUUUCUCCCAAUCAAGAAAAUACUUCGACCCCCAAAAAGCCGUUUCUUUUAUUUCUUCACCUUGCACGGAAUCCUAGAAGAACUGAGAGUAGCUUCAACUGUUUAUUUGAAACGGUUUUUCCUCCGAAAUCUGAGGAAAAAAAAAUCCCAAAAAUCUAUAUCAAUUUUCAAUCGCUUUGCCGAGAAACAAAAAACAAACGAAAAUAAAGGGAGAAAGUUCAAUUUUUUUUUCGAAAGGUGUAUGUUUUUAAAAUAGUUGAACAAUCCGCUCUCGAUAGCUCUUGGAGAAUUUCUUAAGACAAAUGUCGAAGUUCGCCUGAAAACCUUGAAAAUCCAAAAAAGGGGUUCUAAGAUCAAAUUCUCAUGUGGUUGACACGGAAUACCGCAACGUUACAUACGCAGCGUGUGUAUACCUGUGUGAAUUCGUUUGCAUUGCGGAUAGUUGCAAACCGGAUCACGGUAUCAUUAUCUCGGAAAUCGUAUGUGCUUCGGUUCGGCGCUUAAACUUAAUUACAUUGAAUUUCAGUGAGCGCGUUGGUGUGCGCCGAACAAUCGAAAUCCUGCGAAUUCUGGAUCCUAGAUCCUCCGUCUAGGUACGUACGUGUUUCCGGUGAUUGUAUCAUAAAUAGAUAUAAUACAGCCGGUCAAAACCGCGGAACCGCAAAUUUCUCACACUGCGCAAAUGCAGCUCGGAUGACAGAUUGCGAAUUGCUAUACGCGCCGUAGUUACCUACGAGAUAUAUCCAUACCACAUGACCCGUGACAUACGGCCUUACGAUACCCGUCGUCGUCUAGUUCCGAGUCCAUGUCCACGGCGUCGCUGCCAAACAGUACGUCAUUUUUCCCGGCAGGUGGUGGCCGGCGGCCUCGCAGUGCCGAUGGAUUACUGCUCCACGGCGGUGCGCAAACACCGAUCAGGAAACCACACGAUCAUCUGACCUGAUGACCUCAAACCGUAAAGCCAUUAGUCCUAAUUGAUUCCGGUGAAUCCUAAUACCGCACAUCGCAUCACACGCUUUGCGCAAGUGUUGCAUAAGCCGCAGACAUUUCCGCUGUGCAAUGACCAGGGUCCGCGCUGCAUACUGUAUGGUAUGGAGCAGAGGUUAUAUUGGCUGGAUGGCUGGUUGGUUGGUUCCACGAAGACAACCCCUUCCGCGUAUUUCACCCUUGAAGUAACGAAAUUUCGAGCCGUUGCUACGUCCAUUAAAUCCCAUCACCGAGAGGAGAAUAAAGAAAGGAGACGAAAUUCUUUCGAGUAAAAGUGCAAAUCCCUUGGUAGCUAAAGUUUCGAAACCACGCCGAGAUACGAAAGCUAGAGAAACUGGCAACGCAUAUGGAACGAGAAGGAAGUCAUCUCGAUGCAAAUGCAUACGGCGUGCACAUCGUACUUACGUAUCCCAUCCCCUGAGGUGAGCGUCACAAAUACAUGAGGGGUGACGAAAAUUGACAAAGUGAAUAAGUAAACAAAUUGAAGAAGAAAAUCGAUUAAAGAAAUUGUUAGAAUUUGAAAUAUUCUGUCCCUUAUUAUACACUUGGUACUUUUUUUAGUUUCCCUCAAUUUUUUUAGGUACCCGGUAUGAGUAGCACAUUUAUAUAUAGUGUGUGCAAAGAAAUGCGAAUUCGGAAUAACUAAUCAAGUUAGGUCAGUCUUGAGAAGAUCCUGUGAAUCCUGAUGUGUGGAAUGAUUCGAUCCAUUUUGGACAUGAAAUAUCGAAGGAGGAUGGCUUUCUUGUGGGGUUUUCAGACAAUUCAAAAAAUUAUAAUGUCAUGCUUGUGACCGAAUUAUUGUUCGUUUUUAUAUACAAAUGUCUAAAACCUAUUCAAAUUUCAACUAGUUUUCUUUAUAAAUUACCGAACAAAAAAUCAGUUUCUUUUUUAUUGAAAAAAAUAUGAAAAUAUGAGAAAUUUGCGAUUUUUUUUCUCGCGAGCCCGAGGUCGGUUUUAUUUGGCUAAAUAACGAAGAGUUGUAUUGCAGACAUCGGGUGCAAGGGUCGAGCUACAGAAUCGAAAAAUAUAUACCAUGUGUAUAUUACAUUCUCGGUCUUCACGCCCGAAUAACUUAGAACCGUCGUAACUCUAGAAAGGGUUCAACAAAUAUUGAUCUGAAACUCGGAAUACUCAUCGAUGUUCCGUGUACGCACGGGUGUAAUUCUUCUCAAAUAAAUCACCUACCUAUACGUAUAGGAGCAUAGAAAA